UGGGGUGUAGCAUAAUAUAAUGUAUUUCGCUUACACUGAAAAGAUGGCUAAUGUAAAGCCCGCCUUGA
rnacentral:tRNA from 1 species